rnacentral:rRNA from 1 species
GCCGAGGACUCGCUCGUCAGCCAAGGACCAAAGUUGGGGUAUCGAAAACGAUUAGACACCGUUGUAGUCCCAACCACAAACUUUGCUGACUGGCCUUGUGGCACCCUACGGCUUCGGCUAGGGGGUGGUGCGGGGCCUAGGCGAAAGCAUAGUCUUCGAGUCACUUGGAGAGUAUGCCCGCAAGAGUGAAACUUAAAUGAGUUGGCGGAGUCCCAUACAUGAACUGGAGCUUGCGGUUUAAUUUGAUUCAACACGGGACAACUUACCAGGGCCUCGGCAAGUAUGAGUCGUUCCCUGUCUCAGGGUGUGGUUGAAAUCCAACGACGAUUUUGCCUGGGGUUGUGCAUGGCCACCCGAGGCCGAUGGAUUGAUCUUUUGGUUAAGUCCGGUAAUCGGCGAGACCCGCGCUGUCAGUUUCGAGCCAAGAGGCGAGUCUGGCAGAACCGCAUUCGCAAGAGUGAGGUAGGAC